GCGGCAGCGGCAGCGGGAGCGGGGCGGCCCCGGCGCAGGGAGGCCACGGGCACCGCCGGGGCGGGGCAGAGCAGCUCCGCGCGCGCGUGACGCUCGUGUCGGCGGGACGGCGGUUUGGUGAGAUCCUCCACCCAGGGAGGGUUGAGACAUAGUCUGCACCUAGCUGUCUCUACAAGUUCACGUUGGCUUGUGUACAAAUGUCCAGCCUGUAAACAGAAGGGCUCUGUUCAUGUCAGAAGAUCCCUGUCAGUCAAUGGAGAUUAUACCACUGAAAGAAGCCCUAUACAGAUGGGCAGAUUCCCUGAAGAGGGACCUAAGAACAUCUUGGGAGUAACAGAAGAAAGUUCACAUCUGACAGCUGUAGGAGCAGCAUGGUCAAUGUUUUACUUGUUUAAAGCAACAUCUGACAAUCUGUCUAGCCCGUGGAAAAGAGCUAAAUUACUCCUGCUGUCUCACUGAAAAUAUCCUGCAGAGCUGAAAAUGAAAAAGGGUUGGCAUAGGUACAUGGGAGAGUUUUUCCUGUUUGCAAGACACAGCAACACCAGGAGAUCUCCUGAGGCCAGGAACCAGGAAAGAGACUAAAAAGAAGCCACAUGUAGCACUGGAUCUUUAAGUGACCUUUGAAGUCUAAAUGACUAGCAGAAAUUAGUUCUGUUGUUGAAGAGGAAAUGUUCUGAGCCUGUACAUAAAAGAUAAUUCUGGUUGUUAAGAUGCUUAAAAACUAUAGCUUUUGAUGGAAGGGACCAUUCUCAAUGCUUUGAACAGGCAAGACAUAAGAACAGAUACAGGAGCUCAGAACACAAUUUAUCUAGUCUACCGUUUUCUUUCUGACAGCAACUCAAAGAGAAAGCACAGGGUGGAGUGAAAGAGCAGGACAACACAUAGCAGUGCUUCCCUUGAAGACUCUUCCAUCAUUUACCAAACUGCAGUUUAGGGAUGUUCUAAGCCAGAUAUUCUUGAGUAUCACACUUGGAAAUUUAAGCAUCCAGGACCUCAAAUGUUCCAAGGAGAGGACUUGGAAUUAUGAGUCAUGUUCAUAUGACCAAAUAUGUGAUUCAAACACAAUUUUAAAAAUGCACUUAAUGAUACACAAUGGCUUUACCUUUGAUUUCUGCCUUUAGCAGUGUUUCUUGUGGCUCUGCUGACCUUGGAACUCCUGUUGUACAAGGUCAAUUCUGAAAAUAUGAUCAGACAUGCAGUGCCCUGCCUGGCUGUAGCCAUUGUAAAACUUAGAGAUGUUCCAGGGCAGGUUUAGUCAUCUUUGUUGUAACAGUGCCCAGAGCUGUACCUACUAUUUUAGAGUCAGACAUAAACAAACGUAGUGUCUGUCUAUAAAUGGACAGUGAUAUUACAUGAACAAACAGUUUGUGGUGAUUCACCUGAGACUAAACUGGAUUUGCCUGCCAAGAUAAUUCACCUGGAGAGCUGAUUACUUCCAUUCAGCUCCUUUCUUGGAAGCAGGCUGAGAAUAACAAACUGUUCCGAUAACAUCAGCCUACUUCCAGUCAACAUAUUUCCUCUUGAAAGGCAGGGCAGGUCCCACCCUGUUACAUGACAGACACAUAUUUGGUCAUGUAAAUGUGACUCAUAACUCAGAGUCUUCACCUUAGGUGUCAACAGCAGCCAGUUCUCACAAAACCCUUGUUUGAAAUGGUGAUGCCAUGCCUUCCCUCCAGCAGUUAGGUGUUCAUCUCUCUAUUCCUGGGGCUCUGGAAAGCCCAAGUCACAACAAUGUGCUCCAAUCAGCUGGCUACCGAAUUUCAGGACAGACUUUCCCUCAGUCCAUCUUACUGCUGUUCCUCUUGGUGCAAACUAAAUAUGCAGUGCAUAUCCAGGGAAUUUCAUGGUGGUCAGGAUGCUCACAAAGAAGAGGACAGGCCUGACUCUAGACCACCUCAAUUAUUCCUAAGCAUUUAUAUUCAGUAGGACAGAUACUGUAGCUUUGUCCUCUCCCCUUCCAGCUCUAUAAACACUAGGUCACACAAUUGUAUUUAUUGAAUGUUUAACUAUUUCAUGCUAAAUGGAAAAGCCAUUGAAAGGAAGAAGAAGCAUUCUCUAUAAAUCAUAUAGUUACAGUAUCAGUAACAAGCAAGCUGUGGCCAUUUGGGUCUCAACUUCUAAGUGUUAUACAACAACAUAAGACAAAUAGUUCUCGAUCAGACCACAGGUCUGUCUGGUUUACUAUCCUGUUUCCAGCAAUAUCUAAUAGCAGAAGUCUAGGGGAAAGGACAGAUGCAGAGAGGUAUUUCUGCAGAGCAUCCUCUUGAUUCCAGCAAAUGAUAGUUCAGAUCUUCCCCAGUGAGAGAUGGUAUCUUGUAUUUAAUAGCUCGUUUCCAUUAUUUAAGGCAGUUAUUUUUUGAGCCCAUGCAAACUUUUGACAUCCAUAAAAUUCUGGAGCAUGGGUUUCCAGUGCAGACACUGUAUUUUGGAACCUGCUCCUUGCCUGUUUCAUUUGAGGCAGUGCUGGCCCGCAAUCAUAGGCACAACCCACCCACAGUGACCUUUAUACUGUUAUAGUUGCACUGAUGUCCAAACCUGAAUCAUUGAACUGAAAGUGGCCUGCAUGUAGAGAAGUGGGCAUGAGCCUACAUGAAUCAUCUACUUUAACGGUCUUAAGGGACUUGUCCAAGAUCACAUGGAGAGGCGCUGGAAAAGCAGGAAAACAUCUGAUGAAAGCACCUAAACCUUCCUUCAAAGCUCCUUUUCUCUGGCUUACUAUCAGUCUUGGUGUGAUCUGGACUUGCCAGAUCAUCUACAACAGCUUGCUGGGUCCCAGAGCAUCUGAUCUUUUCUUUUGAUCCCACAGAGAACUAGGCUUCUGGCCAACUAAGAAGAGCAAUCCAGCUAGGCAGUCCUCCAGCCAAACUCCCCCUGAGUGUUCUAGUUUGGACAUUGGUAUUUUACUGACACUAAACUUCCCUCUUCAGCAUGAAUUGCUCAUUACUUGAAUUCCAUCAGGGAUUUCUUAUGUCAUGAAAGAGCAGAGACUCUGCCUGAACACACUGAGGACUGACUGCUUUCUGUGGAUAAAGUUGUUGAUCUGUGUAUAUGUGUGUGCCUGUAUCUGCAGGACAUAGAUGUCUCAGUGUUUUCCUCUCAAUGGUGUCUCUGUUCUGCAACCAUCUGUGUAUAAAGCUGCUAUUCUCUCGUGAACAAUGACUCAUACAGGAAGGUCUCUAAGAAUUAGGCAAGAACUAUGUUCAUCCUGAGUAGUACUGAAGAUGAGAAUUCAAUUCCAUAAACUCUUGGAAACUCAGCAUUAGUUUUCCCUUGACAGCUUUAAUCUUUAAAAUCUGCUUUUGCUGACACACAUUUACAAACAACAGUUUGGCAGUAAACUUUUGUCUCUGCAAAUGGGUGCUGCAAGUCCACCGCUUGCUUCUGACGAAGACCCAGCACAGCACUGCUCACUGUGGCCAACCUUUUCCUCACUCCAUUUUCCAGUGAGGGUCCACCUGGUGACUCCUCCACCUCCCACAUUCUUCUCAGCCCCCACAGGUGACUCUUUCCAGCCCUUUCCCUUUAUCUCCAGGCUGCUCUGCAUCUCUGCCAACUGCAGUGGGUGAGUGGGAAAAAGUAGGGUCACUGUUCCUGGCACCCUGAAAGCUACACCUGGACCUGGAGCUGCCCAAAAGACUGUGAAGUUGGCCGUAGGGACUAUCUGGAGCAGUGAUCCAUAUUGGUAUCAAAAAAUCACGGUCUUCACUUCAUAUAUUGAGCAAGGUUUGGGUACUUAGGAAAUAGUUGAAAGAAAGGAAAUAUCCAGAGGAUUUUAUCAGAAAGUGUCCUGUGGUCAGAAUGAGUGCAGAAAGAAGCGUUUCUGAAAAUCAAGUGAGCUUCUCUGGCUAGUGGGGAAGGUUCUGCUUUGUGUCACCUUGUCCAACACUGGGGAUACAGAUUAAGAUGAUCAAGAAAGUUUAAAACAAAUGGUGACAUAUCCUAAUAAUGUAAUCUUAAGACCAUACCCAGAAAACAUGCACACAAUAAAUACAAUUUUUCGAUUGGACUAGAAUUAGAAAUUUUAUUCUCAGAGUUUAAAAUUCAUCUAGGAUGUCAAGUGAUAAGCAAGGGUCAGAGGUGCUAAUACAUGAAAGGAAAUCUGCUGUGUGAGAGAAGCUGGGUGGCUGGAGUUGGACAGAAUGUUAAAAUCAACAGAUAAAAUCAGAAUCACAGACUCACAGAGCAGUUGAGGUUGGAAGGGAACCCUGGAGGUGAUCUGGUCCAAACCCCACAAGCAGAGUCACCUAGAGCAGGUUGCCCAGGACCAUGUCCAGACAUCUUUCGAAUAUCUCCAGGGACAGGGAUUACAAGUCUAUGCUGUAAAAAUGUCAUAGGUAAAAGAGGUUGGCACUUUAUCCCUGGAAUCAUCACUUUGAAGACUCACAGGCUGAACAAGGUGAUUUGAUGGCUCACUUGGGUGGUGCCUGAGCCAGAGGCCUCAUUCCCAUGCUAUCCUUUCCCAACCACCACCCUUCCUGCCAGCUGCAUGGUUGUCACCUUCCCGUGGCUGGUACCAGUUCUGUGUUCCUCAGCCUUUUCAGUGAAUUGAUCAGUCUUCAAACAGAAGAAUGCAACUUUCUUCCUGCUGGAUUAGUGAGUUCAAAUGAAUCAGUGAAAAAUGUAGGUUGGAAAGCAUAUUAGAGGUCUUUAGUACAAUCUCCUAUUCAAAGCAGGGCUAACUUCAAAGCUAGAUGAAGUUGCUCAGGGCCUUGUCCACAUGUAUUCUGGAAAUCCCUGUGGAUGGAGAUUCCACAGCCUCUCUAGACAUCUUGUCCCAGGGCUGCACCAAUCUCGUAGUAAAUAAUGUGUUCCUUCUGUUGAAAAAGAAUUUCCCUGGUUCGCAACAUGAAACAAUUGCCUUUUGUCCUUUCACUGUGCACUUGCAGGAAAAGCUUGGAUGCACCUUAAUUCUCAACCCCUUUAAGCAGUGUUAGUCUGCAAUUAGAUCCCCUGCUAGUCUUCUCUUCUCCAGGUCAAACAAACCUAAUUCCCUUUGCACCUCUCACAGGGUACGUGCUCUGGCUGACCAGUACUAGGGGCUUUUGUCAGAUCCUCUCCAGCAUG